CCUAUCAAAGGGUAGCCCUGUGCAAUCGGUCGGUUCGGUUCCGAACCGAACCGAACCGAUAAAACCGAAAACCGAUUUGCUGAAAUUUUUAAAACCGAAAAAACCGAUUCUGGAGGUAUAACCGAACCGAAUCGAACCGAUAAAAAUCGGUUCGGUUCGGUUCGGUUCGGUUAAAACCGAAAUUUUUUUUUUUUAAUUUUUUAUUUCUAAUUUGGAACCUGCCCAAGUGUUCCAUAACUCAGAACAUUCUUCUUCCUCUUCCUUGCUGUUUUUCCCUCUCGCAGACAAGAAAUCCCUAAAUCAUGUAAUCACUGCUUCCUGCAAAGUACCAACCCGCUUGAUUUUUUUUUGUGAAAAAAUCAGUAUUAUCCCAUACAAACAAAUUAAAUUGGUAAUGGCAAAGAUUAAAAGUAAACCCAGUAAACCCAUACCCAACCCAAGUCUAACAAAUUGAGGGGAAAAAAAGAGAGAAAACACAAGCAUCUGACUGAGCCACAGUACAAAAAAGAGGUUGAUGGUCAAGUACAAAAGAGAGAAAACACAAAUUGCGAAAAGCGGUAGUACAUCUGCUCUCAAGAGAUCAGUCCACGGUCGGCGGCGAAACUCACCAAAUCGACGGGAAAGAGGUUGAUGGUCGACGGUCAGCGGUCGGAGGUCGACGUGAAAGAGAAAGAGAGGCCAGGGGGAGGAAUCGGGAUUCGAGAGAGAGAAUAGGGGUUCGGGGGGGAAUCGGGUUCAGGAGAGGAGACUGCAGAGGAGAACGGGAUGAAUGAAGGGGUUCAGGGGUUGGGCUGCUGAAGCGUACGAUAGGCUGCUGAAGCGUACGAUAGGCAGAGGAGAACGGGAUGAAUGAAGGGGUUGGGCUGCUGAAGAAGCGUAUGAAUGAAGGGGUUCAUGGGUUCAGGGAUGAAUGAAGGGGUUGGGUUCGGUUUUUCGGUUUGAUCGGUUAUUUAACAUGUUUAAACCGAACCGAACCGAAAACCGAAUAAUUUUAAAUAUACUAACCGAACCAAACCGAUCAUACUGAUUAACCGAACCGAAAAACCGAAAUUAAUCGGUUCGGUUCGGUUUUUCGGUUUAAACCGAAAAACGCUCUCCCCUA
rnacentral:lncRNA from 1 species